rnacentral:rRNA from 1 species
CCCCAGACUCCUACGGGAGGCAGCAGUGGGGGAUAUUGCACAAUGGGGGAAACCCUGAUGCAGCGACGCCGCGUGUGGGAAGACGGUCCUCUGGAUUGUAAACCACUGUCCCCAGGGACGAAGAUGACGGUACCUGGGGAGGAAGCUCCGGCUAACUACGUGCCAGCAGCCGCGGUAAUACGUAGGGAGCGAGCGUUGUCCGGAAUUACUGGGUGUAAAGGGAGCGUAGACGGCCAUGCAAGCUCGGUGUGAAAGGUGCGGGCACAACCCGCAGACUGCACUGAGAACUGUAUGGCUGGAGUGCCGGAGGGGCAGGCGGAAUUCCUGGUGUAGCGGUGAAAUGCGUAGAUAUCAGGAGGAACACCGGUGGCGAAGGCGGCCUGCUGGACGGCGACUGACGUUGAGGCUCGAAAGCGUGGGGAGCGAACAGGAUUAGAUACCCGCGUAA